rnacentral:rRNA from 1 species
AUUGAACGCUGGCGGCAUGCCUUACACAUGCAAGUCGAACGGCAGCGGGGGAGAAGCUUGCGUUUCCUGCCGGCGAGGGGCGAACGGGUGAGUAAUACAUCGGAGCGUGCCCGGUAGCGGGGGAUAACUAGUCGAAAGAUUAGCUAAUACCGCAUACGACCUGAGGGUGGAAGUGGGGGACCGCGAGGCCUAAUGCUAUAGUGGCAGCCGGUGUCUGAUUAGCUAGUUGGUGGGGUAAAGGCCUACCAAGGCGACGAUCAGUAGCUGGUCUGAGAGGACGAUCAGCAACACGGGGACUGAGACACGGGCCAGACUCCUACGGGGGGAAGCAGUGGGGAAUUUUGGACAAUGGGCGAAAGCCAGAUCCAGCAAUGCCGCGUGUGUGAAGAAGGCCUUCGGGUUGUAAAGCACUUUUGUCCGGAAAGAAAUGGCUCUGGUUAAUACCUGGGGUCGAUGACGGUACCGGAAGAAUAAGGACCGGCUAACUACGUGCCAGCCGCCGCAGUAA